rnacentral:tRNA from 1 species
UGGCUCAGAGGUUAAAGCGUCUGCCUGCAAUGCAGGAGACCCGGGUUCGAUCCCUGG